rnacentral:rRNA from 1 species
AGGUUGGCUUAGAAGCAGCCAUCCUUUAAAGAAAGCGUAACAGCUCACUGGUCUAGUGAUUCUGCGCGGAAAAUAUAACGGGGCUAAGAUGUACACCGAAGCUUUAGAUUCAAUUUUUAAUUGAGUGGUAGGAGAGCGUUCUAUUCAGCGUAGAAGAUGUACCGGUAAGGAGCGUUGGAGCGGAUAGAAGUGAGCAUGCAGGCAUGAGUAGCGAUAAUUGAGGUGAGAAUCCUCAACGCCGAAAACCCAAGGUUUCCUACGCGAUGCUCGUCAUCGUAGGGUUAGUCGGGUCCUAAGUCGAGACUGAAAAGUGUAGACGAUGGCAAAUUGGUUAAUAUUCCAAUACCAACAUAUAAGCGCGAUGUGGGGACGCAUAGAGUUAGUCGAGCUCACUGAUGGAAUAGUGGGUCGAAGGAUGUAGGUUGUUAAGUAGGCAAAUCCGCUUAACGUUAGACCGAGAUCUUACAGGCUCUUGACACUCUUCGGAGGAGAUGGAGAAUCGAUGAUACUGUCGUGCCAAGAAAAGCCACUAAGUUUAUUAUAUGUUGCCCGUACCGUAAACCGACACAGGUGGGUGGGAUGAGUAUUCUAAGGCGCGUGGAAGAACCCUGGUUAAGGAACUCUGCAAACUAGCACCGUAUCUUCGGUAUAAGGUGUGCCUACUUUGGUAUAUGGACUUGCUCCAAAAAGCUAGAGAGGUUGCAACAAAGAGUCCCUCCCGACUGUUUACCAAAAACACAGCACUUUGCUAACACGUAAGUGGAUGUAUAAGGUGUGACGCCUGCCCGGUGCUCGAAGGUUAAUUGAUGAUGUCAGCGCAAGCGAAGCAUUUGAUCGAAGCCCGAGUAAACGGCGGCCGUAACUAUAACGGUCCUAAGGUAGCGAAAUUCCUUGUCGGUUAAAUACCGACCUGCAUGAAUGGCGUAACGAGAUGGGAGCUGUCUCAACCAGGGAUCCAGUGAAAUUGUAGUGGAGGUGAAAAUUCCUCCUACCCGCGGAAAGACGGAAAGACCCCGUGCACCUUUACUACAGCUUGACACUGUAGCUUGGAUAUUCAUGUGCAGGAUAGGUGGGAGGCUAUGAUGACUAGACGCAAGUAGAGUCGGAGCCAUCCUUGAGAUACCACCCUUGAAUAUUUGAGUUACUAACUGCGAUGAGUUAUCCUCAUUCAGGACAAUGUCUGGUGGGUAGUUUGACUGGGGCGGUCGCCUCCUAAAUAGUAACGGAGGCUUACAAAGGUUAGUUCAAAGCGGAUGGAAAUCGCUUGUUGAGUAUAAUGGCAUAAACUAGCUUGACUGUGAGACAUACAAGUCGAACAGAGACGAAAGUCGGUCAUAGUGAUCCGGUGGUUCUGCGUGGAAGGGCCAUCGCUCAAAGGAUAAAAGGUACGCCGGGGAUAACAGGCUGAUCUCCCCCAAGAGCUCACAUCGACGGGGAGGUUUGGCACCUCGAUGUCGGCUCAUCGCAUCCUGGGGCUGUAGUCGGUCCCAAGGGUAUGGCUGUUCGCCAUUUAAAGCGGUACGCGAGCUGGGUUCAGA